UGAUGAUGUCACUGAGAGAUGCCAUGGCCUACCUGCUAAACAGCUUUCCUUACAUUGAACAGAUUUGACCAUGCCUUUUCCAGACAUCAGUAAAGCAAAGGACCACAUGGAGUAUCGAAUUUGUUCUCUUGACCUUUUUGAUAUCAGUACUACAGUAUCAACCUUCCAGUGUCCCAGAUAACAGGGCCAGACAAAAACUGCACUAAAUGAAUGCAAAUCAUGGAGGAGUUUACUCUGAGCUGAAGACACAAUACCUGUCUUUCCCUUCUUCCUUAGAAACUUUUUCUUCUGUGUGAAAAAGAAUAAGAGUCAUGUGCUCUCAGGUAAACAACUAUGCCCUUCCUAACUCACGGAUUUUGUAAGAAAUUAAUGAUAUAAGCUCUCUGAUGUCCAGGAACCAUAACAAGCAUGGAAAUACAGAUGCUUCUGAGAGGCUCACAACUCCUAAUACCCAUAUGUGGAAGGCUCAGAUCAAGACUAUCUCUUCAGUGAAUUCACUCAAACCCAACGCAGGACUCACCAAGCUUUCCCAUAGACCAUGUAUUUCUUCCCUUUUUAUACAAAGACAGAAGGGCAGCUUCCUUUUCCCCAUCUCUGAUAUCAUCUUCCUCUUUGUUCUCCCUCCCAAAUGGCUGUUUACUCUGAAUUAGGAGCCAAUUACUAAACCCUAGGGGCACUGAAGGAAUAUCUGAAAGGCAGUUGCAGUCAGGACAACACUCGUGACAUCACAAAAGAAGCCAGGUCUCUGCAGGAUACAAGAGAUUUUUCAGGGAGGGCCUAAUGAUGAUAACACUGAGAAUUGCAAUGGCCUACCUGCUGAACUGCUAUAUUUACAUUGACCACAUUCGAGGGUGACCUUUACAAGAGAGUCUACUGUGACACAGGAGAAACCUUUAAAUACUACAUCUCUCUAAAACUAUAGAAUUCUCUUUGUUCAUUAUUGGUUACAUGCUCUGAAUAGAGAAAGAAAGGGCCUUGGUAUGGGUACAAAGGAUCUAGGAACAUGGAGUGGAAGAGAUUCUUCUGAAUAAUUAUUUUAUUCCCAGGUCCAUUCCUGUGCCGUACAAUUCAAUUUCCUGGUAUUUCUCUGUUUCCCAAGGGCCAGUAUUUUCCCUAUAGACCUUUAAUUGAAUGUAUAUUUUAUUACAUUUUCUUAUUGUACAUUCAUUGAUAGGGGACUUUAUAAUAUAACGUAAUAUGUACUCAUAAAUUCCGUUUUCCUUUUCAAUUUUUUUGCAAUGAUUUUGUCAACAAAGGUGGCACAGCUAUAGAAUGAAUAUAACAGUGUAGAUACUCUGUACCUACAUCAAAUGAUAAGCUCCCAAAUCCUUAUUUUAUCAUAAAUUAUGAGACAUCAGUAAAGCAAAGGACAACAUGUGCCAUAGAAUGUGGUUCUGUAGUCCCAUUAUAUGUCAGUUCUCUAAUAACUACCAUGCUGUUUUCCCAGUGCCAGACUUGAGGGUUUUGGAUAUUUUAUCAUGGUUUUACUUCAGACAAUACAUGAGAUUCAUUUGGAUGGGCAUGGAGAGUAAUGGCUUCAGGUCCAGGGACACCUCAACAUUACUAGUUUCAUAAGAACAGGAGGGAGUCUAUUUGGCAUUGUCAUUUGUGGAUUCUAAAUAAUUGAGCUUGUUUGUUCCAAAGAAUCAAUGUCAAAAUUAUACCUAAUCUCAUUUGUAG